UACGGAAGGCAGCAGUGGGGAAUAUUGCACAAUGGGCGCAAGCCUGAUGCAGCCAUGCCGCGUGUAUGAAGAAGGCCUUCGGGUUGUAAAGUACUUUCAGCGGGGAGGAAGGCGAUGUGGUUAAUAACCGCGUCGAUUGACGUUACCCGCAGAAGAAGCACCGGCUAACUCCGUGCCAGCAGCCGCGGUAAUACGGAGGGUGCAAGCGUUAAUCGGAAUUACUGGGCGUAAAGCGCACGCAGGCGGUCUGUUAAGUCAGAUGUGAAAUCCCCGGGCUUAACCUGGGAACUGCAUUUUGAAACUGGCAGGCUUGAGUCUCGUAGAGGGGGUGAAUUCCAGGUGUAGCGGUGAAAUGCGUAGAGAUCUGGAGGAAUACCGGUGGCGAAGGCGGCCCCUGGGACGAAGACUGACGCUCAGGUGCGAAAGCGUGGGGAGCAAACGAGGAUUAGAUACC
rnacentral:rRNA from 1 species